CAAUAAGCGGAGGAAAAGAAACCAACAGGGAUUGCCCCAGUAACGGCGAGUGAAGCGGCAACAGCUCAAAUUUGAAAUCUGGCCCCCCCCCCGCGGGGGCCCGAGUUGUACUUUGGAGAGGAUGCUUUGGGCGCGGCGCCGGCCGAGUUCCCUGGAACGGGACGCCAGAGAGGGUGAGAGCCCCGUACGGCCGGACGCCCAGCCCGUGCAAAGCUCCUUCGACGAGUCGAGUAGUUUGGGAAUGCUGCUCAAAACGGGAGGUAAAUUUCUUCUAAAGCUAAAUACCGGCCAGAGACCGAUAGCGCACAAGUAGAGUGAUCGAAAGAUGAAAAGCACUUUGAAAAGAGGGUUAAACAGCACGUGAAAUUGUUGAAAGGGAAGCGCCUGGGGCCAGACGUGCGCCCCGCGGACCACCCGGCGCCUUCGCGCGCCGGGGCACGCCGCGGGUGCGCAGGCCAGCAUCGGCUCCCCGCCAGGGGGACAAGGGCCGCGGGAACGUAGCUCCUCCGGGAGCGUUAUAGCCUGCGGCGCCAUGCCCCUGGGGGGGCCGAGG
rnacentral:rRNA from 1 species